GGAAGGAUCAUUAACACUAAUCCACAACUACUCAACCAAGCCUUUAGUUGCAGCAGUAGUACUUGCAUGCGAAAGCAGGCAGUACAGCCGUUGCAACCACAACAAAACUAAUCAAACAAAGGAGCCUAACUAAGCUAAUCAACAAAACCAAAUUCUCAACGAUGGAUAUCUUGGUUCCCAUAACGAUGAAGAACGCAGCGAAGUGCGAUAAGCAAUGCGAAUUGCAGAACCGUGAGUCAUCAGAUUUUUGAACGCAACUGGCGCUAGUUGGUUAUCCAAUUAGCAUGCUUGUUUCAGUGUCUUUUUAUUUCCUCACCGAAAUCAUAAUGCGAGAGAUAACCUUCUCUUGUUAAGCAUGAAAGCACUCUGCGCUCUGCGAGCGACUUCGACUUGUCGAGGGUCGCACUCAAUGCAGCAGUCACAUUGUUUACAGUGUGAACUCAUUGAGAGUAGAGGCAGUGCGGCCUUACAGCUGCCAGUGCUUAGACACUCAAACUUUUCUUGUAUCUGAAAUCAAGCAGGAUCACCCGCUGAACUUAAGCAUAUCACUAAGCGGAGGAGAAGAAAUUAACUAAGAUUACCUCAGUAACGGCGAGUGAAGCGGUAAAAGCCCAAAAUGUAAAUCUUGUGCACUACGUGUACACGAAUUGUAAUCUAGAGAGAGUUCACUCAACGGGCGGGGGCGCAGAAGUGACCACGAACGGUCCGCCAGAGAGGGUGAAAGCCCCGUAUGUGGUGUCCCUGCUUAACGAGUGGGUUUUCGAAGAGUCGGGUUGUUUUGUAUUGCAGCCCUAAGUGGGAGAUAAACUUCUUCUAAGGCUAAAUAUUUAUGGGAAACCGAUAGCGAACAAGUACUGUGAAGGAAAGAUGAAAAGAACUUUGAAAAGAGAGUUAAAAGACUUGAAAUCGUUGAGAAGGAAGGAGUAGAAAUUUAUUCUUCGGCGUAGGCCGGUGGUAGUCGCCUAACCAUUGCUGGCUGAGAGUACGUAAAAGGCUCCGGUUAGCAUCUGGGGAAGUGGCUGCUUUGGUCUGCGUCGUGAGGCAAGAUGGGGUCGUGCGGCCACAAAGGCUUCAUACAAUUCGCUGCCUUCGGGCGGCAGUGUAGGUGUGCCGGUGGAAGCGCGGCCUGAGGAUGCUUCGGCGAUCUUGCCAAAAUGGUUUUUACUCACCCGUCUUGAAACACGGACCAAGGAGUCUAACAUACAUGCGAGUGUGCUAGUGGAAAAACUAACACGCGUAAUGAAGGUGAUUGAUGCCAAGCGCAAGCAGCAGCAUCGACCGACCAUGAUCCUCCGGUGAAAGGUUUGAGUAAGAGCAUGCAUGUUAGGACCCGAAAGAUGGUGAACUAUGCCUGAGUAGGGUGAAGCCAGGGGAAACUCUGGUGGAGGCUCGUAGCGGUACUGACGUGCAAAUCGUUCGUCAAACUUGGGUAUAGGGGCGAAAGACUAAUCGAACCAUCUAGUAGCUGGUUCCCUC
rnacentral:misc_RNA from 1 species